rnacentral:lncRNA from 1 species
UAAGCACAAAUCUUGCUAAUUUUAAAACUUAAUCUUUAGCUCAUUAUCCCACCCCAAUCUCUAAGACCUAGGCUCACAACCCAUCAGAUUUUUGAAUACAAGAAAAAACCCUAGAGAGCUUAGCACAUCAUCUCCCUCGUUACAAUGCACAACAUAAAAACCCUAGUACUUCAUCUUCCUUAUUACACACAAAAAAAAAACCCCUAGAUGAGCUCCUUCUUCUUGAACCUUGAACAACACUACCAUAGCCCUGGGACCCCAUUUUCCGGCCGUCACCUUCAGCGCACCAGUAGCCGCCACCGCCCCCAGCCACAAACCUUAGAAAAGAAGCUGAACCUCCCUUCAUCUGAGAACUAGCCGCCGUCGCAACUCCACCCUCCACCACCAUGCAGCACCGUGCCGCUCUUCUCCUUGACCUCACACUAAACGACUUUCGUCUUCUUCCUCACCUCGCAGCAACUAGCCUCACCAGUCCACCAACCACUCUACUCACCAGAAAAAAGCAGUCGAAUCUGUUUCAAAUUGGUUAACAAAAAAAUUAUGAAUUCCUCUUAGUUUCAACUUGUUUCCAAUUAAAUGUAGUAUCAAUUUCUGUUUGAGCUAUGGAUUUUAGCUGAGGAUUCAAAUCUGUUUCGAAUCUGCUGUGUGUGUUUGCUUUAGCUGGAUUUGCUUUGAUGUUUGAAUCGCCAGCUCGAGGUGUUUUCGACCUGAGCCCGCCAUCGAGGUUUCGGCUAGUUUGAAGGUUCUUAUCUCAAUUCUUUGUUCAAGCUCAUUCUCCGUAGUUUCAUUAUUGUAGUUGGUGAAAUUUAAUCGAAAUUUCGCGCAUUAAGGUCCAUCUAAAUUUAUCUCUUUCUAUGUUUGAUAUCUCUGUUCGCAUAUAUUUUUACAUGAAGUUGGCUCGUCGUCUAAUAUGCUUAUCUUUUCAAAUAUCAUAAUAAUCGUUAUCUUUUUUUUUGUUUUGAUCUAAGUUUUUUAUUUAACUUUUUUGUGUUUGUUAAUCAUAUUAGUGUUUUCCAUGGAUGUGGU